rnacentral:rRNA from 1 species
UGGGGAAUAUUGGACAAUGGGCGAAAGCCUGAUCCAGCCAUGCCGCGUGUGUGAAGAAGGUCUUCGGAUUGUAAAGCACUUUAAGCUGGGAGGAAGGGCAUUAACCUAAUACGUUAGUGUUUUGACGUUACCGACAGAAUAAGAACCGGCUAACUCUGUGCCAGCAGCCGCGGUAAUACAGAGGGUGCAAGCGUUAAUCGGAAUUACUGGGCGUAAAGCGCGCGUAGGUGGGUUGUUAAGUUGGAUGUGAAAUCCCCGGGCUCAACCUGGGAACUGCAUUCAAAACUGACUGACUAGAGUAUGGUAGAGGGUGGUGGAAUUUCCUGUGUAGCGGUGAAAUGCGUAGAUAUAGGAAGGAACACCAGUGGCGAAGGCGACCACCUGGACUAAUACUGACACUGAGGUGCGAAAGCGUGGGGAGCAAACA